GAUGAACGUUGGCGGCGUGCCUGACACAUGCAAGUUGAACGAUUCCCGAAUAGCUUGCUAUUCGGGAAGAGUAGCGAACGGGUGAGUAACACGUGAGUAAUCACCCCUUGAGUGAGGAAUAAUUCCGCGAAAGCGGGACUAAUACCGCAUAAUAUACUCUGUGGGCAUAAGCCCUUAGAGUCAAAGCUUUCCGAGCAAUCGGAUGGCGCUUGAGGACGAGCUCGCGGCCUAUUAGCUAGUUGGUAGGGUAAUGGCCUACCAAGGUUAUGAUGGGUAGCCGGCUUGAGAGGGUGUACGGCCACACUGGGACUGAGACACGGCCCAGACUCCUACGGGAGGCAGCAGUGGGGAAUAUUGCGCAAUGGGCGAAAGCCUGACGCAGCGACGCCGCGUGGAGGAUGAAGGCCUUCGGGUUGUAAACCCCUUUUCUUAGGGAAGAACUAAUGACGGUACCUAAGGAAUAAGCCUCGGCUAACUACGUGCCAGCAGCCGCGGUAAUACGUAGGAGGCAAGCGUUGUCCGGAUUUACUGGGCGUAAAGAGGGAGCAGGCGGCUCUUCAAGUCAGAUGUAAAAUCUCCAGGCUCAACUGGGAGGGAUCAUUCGAUACUGUUGAGCUUGAGGGCAGCAGGGGGAGAUGGAAUUCCCGGUGUAGUGGUGAAAUGCGUAGAUAUCGGGAGGAACACCAGUGGCGAAGGCGGUCUCCUAGGCUGUUGCUGACGCUGAGGUCCGAAAGUGUGGGGAGCGAACAGGCUUAGAUACCCUGGUAGUCCACACUGUAAACGAUGGACACUGGGUAUGGGGGGUAUCGACCCCCUCCGUGCCGAAGCUAACGCGUUAAGUGUCCCGCCUGGGGACUACGGCCGCAAGGCUA
rnacentral:rRNA from 1 species